AUUGUUCGUGCAUACCUCGAGAAUGAAGAGAAAAUUUCGCAGUUCCAGAGAUGACGACUUAUCCUGCACCAUAAAAGUACUUUAUAACUUACGGUUGAUGGAUAACAAGGUUAAAGAAUAGUUAUAACCCAAGGAGACGAAUCCUCUUAAAAAUGGAAGCUCAAAAACAGUUGUAGACGACUCAAAUCAUGUUUAAAAAUACCCAAGGUAGCAGUGUUACAUGAACACCGACUCGACUACUAGCAGCAUAUAUACAGGGUAUUUUAUGUUUGAUAUUGACUAUCUGAGUGCUAUACAGGCUGUGGAUUAUGGAAAUAUUGGUGAUAAACGAGCCAUUGACAUCAGUUUUUUGUAAAGAAAUUCAGGACAGUGCUUGACUUAAGAAGUUGCAAACGAUGAGUUAAACUGUGUUCAUAAGCCAAUAGACUUUGUUGUAACAUAAUAAUUUUGAAUGUGACGAAAAUUUUGUCUGAUUAAAUAUUUGGACACAUUUUGCCAAUUAAAUUAUAGUGUAAUUUUU